GACGAACGCUGGCGGCGUGCCUAAUACAUGCAAGUCGAACGCUUCUUUCCUGCCGUGUUCUUGCCCUCGAGUGGAAAGAGGGGGGGCGGAAGGGGGGGUAACACGUCGGUAACUUGGGGAACAGCGUGGGAAAACAAAUGGAAAUAGGUCCUAAUAACGCAUAACAGUUUAUGCAGGAUGGCAUAAGGGUGUAGGGGGAUUGCGGGGGGCGCUGGCGGUUUGUUCGCGGGUGCAUUAGCUAGUUGGUCAGGUAACGGCUCACCAAGGGAAGGAUCGAUAGCCGACCUGAGAGGGUGAUCGGCCACACUGGAACUGGGCAACGGCCCAGACUCCUACGGGAGGAAGCAGUAGGGAAUUUUGGGCAAUGGAGGAAAGUCUGACGCAGCAAGGCCGCGUGAGUGAAGAAGGUUUUCGGUUCGUAAAACCCUGUUGUUGGGGAAGAACAUGGUCGUUAUUAAAUGAACGUCCACUGACGGUAACUAACCAGAAAGCAACGGCUAACUACGUG
rnacentral:rRNA from 1 species